CCUACGGGAGGCUGCAGUGGGGAAUAUUGGGCAAUGGGCGCAAGCCUGACCCAGCAACGCCGCGUGAAGGAAGGAGGCUUUCGGGUUGUAAACUUCUUUUGAGAGGGAAGAGCAGAAGACGGUACCUGUCGAAUAAGCCACGGCUAACUACGUGCCAGCAGCCGCGGUAAUACGUAGGUGGCAAGCGUUGUCCGGAUUUACUGGGUGUAAAGGGCGUGUAGCCGGGCUGACAAGCCAGAUGUGAAAUCCGGGGCCUCAACCGCCGAACUGCAUUUGAAACUGUUUGUCUUGAGUAUCGGAGAGGUAGGCGGAAUUCCUGGUGUAGCGGUGAAAUGCGUAGAUAUUAGGAAGAACACCAGUUGCGAAGGCGGCUCACUGGACGGCAACUGACGGUGAGGCGCGAAAGCGUGGGGAGCAAACAGGAUUAGAUACCCGGGUAGUC
rnacentral:rRNA from 1 species